CAGGGAGACAACAAAAUGUUAAAUAUUAAUUUUGUCACCUUAGGUCGAUCGGUAUCUCACAUCCUUAAAGUUAUUAAGGAUUUUAUUUCCUAAGUUUUUUUCUAGGUCACACCCAUUACUUUUCCUGGGCCAUUAGCUCAGGUGGUUAGAGCGCACCCCUGAUAAGGGUGAGGUCCCCGGUUCAAGUCCAGGAUGGCCCAUAUCUCUAUGUUGGGGGUAUAGCUCAGUUGGUAGAGCGCCUGCUUUGCAAGCAGGAUGUCAGCGGUUCGAGUCCGCUUACCUCCACUGAUUACCACCUCUUCCAUAAUUUAAGGAAUAGUUUUGAGUCGUGAUCAAAUUCUGAAAGAAUCUAGCUUCCUAAUUAUUUUUAAUUAAGAUGCUGGAUUCAUUGAAUUACCUUCAAUGUUUUCAGAGAACCUUGACAACUGCAUAGAUUAUUUUUAAAGACAAUAAGCAUCUUUAAUGAUGCAGAUUUAUUAUUUUUGCAAAUGCAAUAAUAACAAUUCUAUUAAGCUGAUGCUUCAAAAUUUUGAAGUUAUU
rnacentral:tRNA from 1 species